CGCAUCUGUGCAUGCAGCAUAUCAAUAAGCGGAGGAAAAGAAACUAACAAGGAUUCCCCUAGUAACGGCGAGUGAAGCGGGAAGAGCUCAAAUUUGAAAUCUUAAAGGGUUUCCCUUUACGAAUUGUAGUUUAAAGAAGUGUUUUCUGUUGAGGUUUUGGUAAAAGUUCUUUGGAAUAGGACAUCAUAGAGGGUGAGAAUCCCGUAUUUGACCUUUACUUUCAACUUUGUGAUACACUUUCAAAGAGUCGGAUUGUUUGGGAAUGCAGUCCAAGAUGGGUGGUAAAUUUCAUCUAAAGCUAAAUAUUGGCGAGAGACCGAUAGCGAACAAGUACCGUGAGGGAAAGAUGAAAAGAACUUUGAAAAGAGAGUUAAACAGUACGUGAAAUUGUCAAAAGGGAAGCGUUUGACACCAGUGUUGUUUUUCCUGAAAAUCAAUUAACGAAUGUUUAUGUUUGAGGAGUUUAUGACUUCAUCAGCUAUGCUCCUUUCGUUUACGAAGCUUUCUUUAAUGCACUUUUCAGUUAACAAGUCAACAUCAAUUUCUUUUGUUGUAAAAAGGUAUGAGGAAGGUGGCUUGCGAUUCGUAUAAGUGUUUAUAGCCUCUGUGCCUCUGCAGUCGGAGAGAUUGAGGUCUGCAGCGUAGAUCCUUCGGGGUUAAAUAGCAUUUGUGCUAAGUUAUAGCAUUUCAUAGACAACUUGUUGACUAUGAUUUAGUCUUGUAGCUUACUCGCUUACUGCUAUUUUACCUACGCUUAGGAUGUUGAACGCGCACAGAGUCUC
rnacentral:rRNA from 1 species